GAUGCAUACUUUUAUUUUUGAAACUUAAGCAUAUUUUAGCAAUUACAUUUACUUUUGAUACUUAAGUAUAUUUAAAACCAAAUACUUUUACUUUUACUCAGGUAGUGUUUUACUGAGUGACUUUCACUUUUACUUCCGUCAUUUUCUAUUAAGGUAUCAUGACUUUUACUCAAGUAUGACAAUUUGGGUCCUUUUUCCACCACUGGUAAAUAGUUACAGCCUGUAACUGUGUAACUAGGAAAAAUUAUGUUACUAGUCUAAUUCAAAACUAUUCAGCUCUCCGGAAGGGGAAUGUGAAGAGUGCUGUAAAAUAUAAUAUAAACAUCUAUAGGCCUAAUUGAAAUUGCGCAUCCUGAUCUUUCUUUUCCUUUUUACAACUUCCUUGCUUGAAUUAGAAUGUUUAUCUCGUCCACCCUACAACACCAGACACCAAAACGCGCGUACACGCUCACAUGCCGCUUUCAAGACAACUUAUAACAAGGGAAAGUCGGAAAUGUCCAACUUGAAACUCGUUACCACUUGAAAAAUGUCUGAAUUUACCAAUAGAAAUUCUCUACGCAAAAAAAACGUAUAGUUAAACCCGGAGAUUCCGCGUUUCCGAGUUGUCUUGAAAGCACCAACAGACGCAAAACACGCAAGGCGUCUGGUCCAGUGGAUCAGAUCUCGUCAAAACAACACGGGGGCGAGCAUGCAUGCUCAUGGAAUGACUCCCGCAGCAUAGGUCGCUGGCGCACCCCACAUCUGCACCCAAAUGGCUGUUUGGUCAGUGCAGACUGGGAAUCAACAAUGAGAUAGACUAUGGUGUUUAUUGCUAAUAGGCUAUACAUCAAUGCUAGUGAUCAUCCAUAUAUGAUAUCCAUAUCAUUAUAUUAUAAGCAACACGAUCAGGAGAGAGAACGAUUGUUAUGGAAGAAAAGGGACCUCAGCCGCUCCGCAAGAACAAAUGCAGAAUAUCCAAAUGAAUACCCAGACUGGCGUGGCAUGCGGGGCAGACAGUCCGAAGGGAGUGCGUGUGUGUGUGGAGUCUGCGUCUGCUCCAACGACCAGUUUACGCAGAGACAACAACACACGCCUGCCAUACAAAGAGAAUACACACCUGCCAUGUUCAUAGUCUGACACACAUUGCCCCAACCCCUGGAACGUGCUUGGAUCCUCCUAUUAUUAUUUAUUAGAUUAAUCUGCAUAUUGUAAUCUCCAGUCACAAUUAUUAGGCUACAGUAUGGCAUUAAGUAAAUGGUACCAUUGGAAGUAGGAUUUGUUAGUUGAGUGAAUGACAAUUUAAAAAAAAAUUGGGUUGUAGGUAUGUAUGUCUUU
rnacentral:lncRNA from 1 species